UACGUAGGGUGCGAGCGUUAAUCGGAUUUACUGGGCGUAAAGCGUGCGUAGGCGGUUCAUUAAGUCGGUUGUGAAAUCCCUGGGCUUAACCUGGGAACUGCAGUCGAUACUGGUGAACUAGAAUGCGGUAGAGGGUGGCGGAACUCCGGGUGUAGCGGUGAAAUGCGUAGAUAUCCGGAAGAACACCGAUGGCGAAGGCAACCACCUGGGCCUGCAUUGACGCUGAGGUACGAAAGCGUGGGGGAGCAAACAGG
rnacentral:rRNA from 1 species